AUGCUCAGCAGGCAAAAAUGGGGCGCGGUGGUGGGAAACCAGUGGGGUCUGACCUCCUCCCUCAGGGUUCAAGGUCAGGACUCCUACCCACAGAGUACUCUUUUUCUGGCAUUUCCAAACGUUCAUUCCAUGACAGUUAAGAGGCAGGACAUUUGCUUAACAGCGACGAGCAAAUUUAGUAGGUUAACACUUCCCAGCCGCCCCCACCGCGCUCCUUCCCGGGUCAGGCUCCUGGCGGCGCUGCGCGGGGCGCGGGAGGGGCCGAGGGGGCGGGGCGAGGGGCGUGGGAGGGGCGGGGCGUGGGAGGGGCGGGGCGCGCGGGGCCCCGCCCGCAGCCGGCGGCGGAGCGGGAGGCAGGCGGCUGAGACGGGCGCGCCAUUUGCAUUCGCCCGCAGUCAUUUUUAUCCGCGGAGGAUUUCAAAGCCCCAAACAGAUCCACCCACUGAGGCGGCUGAGAAAAGGAGUUCGGCAGGUGCAGCGCUGUCAGGAGAUGAGACAAGCUAGACACACACCUGCUCUGAGACAGGGUACUUUCAGCAUCGAGCAACAGAAAACCUUGAGUCAACUUGCUAACCUCUGGGCUGACAUGGGGGCAGCCUUGUCCGGUGGGACCGUCUAAGACGAUGGGAGUGUCCAGUACGGCAGCCAUGAGCCACGUGUGGCCAGUGAGCAUUUGAAAUGUGCCAGCGUGACUAAGGAAGCAUUGUGUUAGAGAGCUUCAUUCCCCACAACGUACCCACCCAGAUGCAGUGCUUCCUGGAAUGAACCAUGGUCUCCGUUUUUAUUCAAGUGAAAAUGGAUUGAAUGGGAAAACGAAAUAGGCAUGAAGCUGCCGGCCCUGAGGUCUCUGCUUGGAGAGAGUAUCCGAAUAACUGGGAGCAAGUGGGUUUCCAUAGACUUUAC
rnacentral:lncRNA from 1 species